rnacentral:lncRNA from 1 species
CAGAAGAGGAGUGAACCAGACUCUUUGGUAUUGAGGAUUUAGAGAAAAGCAGCCUCGCUCCUUGGAGUUGUCGAACAUUAGACAGGUGGGGAGAAGGUGGCCCGGGCUUUGGAGGCCAUCUCCGGCUUUUGGGGACUUCGCAGACCCGGCUGCACCUGUGUGUGGGAGAGGACCACCGGCAGGGAGGCCGACCUCCAUUUUGGGGGUCAAAAGCCCUGGUGGUCUUCGGCCCAUCCAGCCCCAACCAGCACUGACUGGCUCUGGCUUCAAGUCCUCUGAGCCCACUUCUCUCUCUGUAAACUUGAGUAACAAAGACAACUUCCCACGGCUGCUGUGAUAACGAUGAAAUCACAUCGAGGAAGGCCUUUGGGGUUGCAGCUGUUGAUGUUGGGAUAAGAAGAGAAGACUGCCUGACAGGCCCCGCUGCCACGAGCUGGCCCACGGCUGCGUGCCGUCAGAGAAAGGCCUGGAGGAGAGGACGUGCUGCUCACGGCUCAUGUGCUCCCACACUUCCCACUGUCUCCUGACCCUCUUCCGGGAUCUUUUUUGCAGCUUCACAAAACCGAAGUCAUUCACUGGCUAUCAGAUCCAGCACCUCCCUGGCUCCCACCCCAACUCCAGCCCUGGUCUGACCUCUCUCAGGUGACAGCCCAAAUCUGCAUGACUCUGGGACAGCCGUCCCAGUGAUCCAAGCAGCUGAGGUCUGGUGGAGGCACCACCUCGACACACUUCACACUGCCACAGAGUGGAGAGAGGCUGGAGGACUCACACCUGCUCUUCUCUGCUUCAGCCGGAAGUGACACUUAGACUAUGGCCCAUUGGCUAGAUCAAGGCACAUGUCUCUGCUUGAGUGCAGGCGGCAGGAAAUGGGGAGCACGCAUCUGCAGUCGAGUCUCUGCUUCCAGCAGUAGCACAUGCAGUAGCAGCCUCUGCCAAAAGCCUAUAGGACCUGCUACAGUUCACGUCCAAACUCCUGCCUGACCCUCAGCAACUCCCAGGACGUGGCCCCAUCUGACACCUCCCAGCCCAUGGCCCAGUUCUGUCUGGUGUGAACUCUCUGCUCCAGGUGUACCAGGCAGAGCCCUUCCUCCAGGCGUUUGCUCAUGCCGUUCUCCUUGUUUAUCAGUCUUUUACCGCUUUUGUCCUAAGUUCUUCAGGGCCCAAAUCCAGGUCAGUCUCUUUUGUGAAGCCUCCUUUUGGCUUAGCCCUUAUUUUUUUAAGGACU